UACAGAGGUCUCAAGCGUUGUUCGGAUUCAUUGGGCGUAAAGGGUGCGUAGGUGGCGUCGUAAGUCAGGUGUGAAAUUUCGGAGCUUAACUCCGAAACUGCAUUCGAUACUGGCGUGCUUGAGGACUGGAGAGGAGACUGGAAUUCAUGGUGUAGCAGUGAAAUGCGUAGAGAUCAUGAGGAAGACCAGUGGCGAAGGCGGGUCUCUGGGCCGAUACUGACGCUGAGGAGCGAAAGCGUGGGGAGCGAACAGG
rnacentral:rRNA from 1 species